CAAAGCGGAACAUGUGAACUUAACCUCUGCACCACGAGGCUGGACCCAUUAAAGAUGUUUUAAAGUCUUAUUUCAACAAAGUCAUGACAUAAGUGAAGAUCAGUCAGGAAACAGAAAGUUCAGCUGUUAAACUCAUAAACAUACAGAGGAAAAAGCCAGAACAGUCCAAGUUAAGGAGAGAGCAUCGGGCUUAACUUUUAAUUUCCUGACUGUUAUCAAGAGGAAUCACAAUCUUGUUGCUAUUUAAACAUAUUUUUAAAAAUCUAAUUUCUUUGGGAGAAGGAGGUGGUUAUGCAAUAAAAAAACAUUUCCCCAAGAAAGAGGUGACAUGAAUGUUUACUUCAGUUUUCUUUUGUUUGUUUGAACCGUGUAAUAAGAGCCUGGUUGCCAAUGCACUAGGCUUUACAAACUUCAAACUGAUGUUGUGCAUCCUGGCAUCAGACCUUUCCCUGGGAAUAUGUUUCAACACGGAGCAGUGGUAAGAACCACGAAGGGUGAUUUCUGAGACGGAUGCAAUGAGGCACCACCAUUCAGUUGUUGAAGAUGCCAGUGAGAAACCUGGAGUUGGGUCGUGAGUAAGAAGAUUCACUUUGGAUUAGGGCUUCUCAAGACAUUUGUGUUUGAGCUGCAUCAGGAGGUGUUCCUGGAUAGCUCCCAACACCAUAACAGGCAAGGAAAUGACAAGUGAGAAUGUGGACCAGCUUAUAGCCUGCACUAUAAAGGGUUCUUUUCGUUGGAGGGAUAAGUACUGAGAACAAGCAUGGCCCCUCUGAACAGCUUUCCAAGCCUUUGUGCUGGGCAUGUGAACUUCUCUCAAUGGAAAUCAACCCAGCUGCCCACUGCAUCUCUCCUUUUUUCAUUGUGGUAAUGAAUGCUGGAAGCUUUCCAAAAUACAAAGUCAACUUGACAGUGACAAAUAUGAAGUGAAAGGCCACAUGAUGAUUAAGCCAUUUACUGACCAAUGGAAAAAACAGCUGUGAUUGACCCAAGAGUUAGAAAAGCCAAGUAUUUCACUAAGCUGAGGCAGUUCAGAUCCAUGGCAUGGCACUACAUGAGGAGAGGGCAACUUGUUUAGAUACAUAACUCUGCCUCAUUACCAGAGAGCUAUUUACAACAGUGAUUACAAAAGAGCCACAUAUUUCAGCCUUCCCAGGGCUGCCAAGAGAAUGAGAAGAGAUAACCUUUGUUAAGCACUUAAUAUGGUCCAGGGCCUAGUUCAUAGCAGGUGCUCAAUAAAUGCAUGAUUCCUCUUCCCUGCCCUGACUCUGUGAUACCUGUUUGUCUCAGCAUCCCCAUUGGCUUCUAUCCUGCCCAUUCCCAAGCUCUUUAGGAAGGAAUUAACCAGACAAGAGGCCAGAGGAACAAAGUAAACAUAUAGGAGCAGCAAAGGAGAGGAGGUAAGGGAUUGGAAACUAUCUUAUGCCAAGAGAUAACUUAAACUUAGUCUGGCUAUAGUUUAGGUUCUCCUGAAAGCAGACCUUGAGGAAAGGACCAGAAUGCAAGUAGUUUAUUUGGGAGGUGAUCUGGGAAAACUAGUAAGUGAUUAGGGCAUGAGACAUGGAAGGGAGGGAGUUCAGUAAGGGUGCAUUAUCCAGUAAGUGAGCAUUUAGAGCUUAAACCCACUGGAGACUGUGGGAGAAAAUGUUCCAUAUGCCCCAGAGUUAUUCUAACCAAGGGAAGAGGUAGGGUGUAUCCACAAAACCCUCAUUUGUUAUUGGUUGAUGGUUGCUUCUGGUGGCAUGAACUCUCUGACAAUUUUGGCUUGCCCUAUAUGCUGGUGAAGCUGAAUGUGCAAUCAGAAAAAAUAUCCUCUGGCAGAAAGAGUCACAGCUGUUCUCAAUAAGUAGGCUUCUGUGGUAAGAGGUGAGUGCCCAUGGGAUAUGGGUGGGGCACAUCAGGGUCUGCCAUAGCAACUAAUUUGACUUUCAAUUUGUAAAGAGGUUGAAAUAGGAGUAGUGCCUUGAGAUUCUUCCUCAAGUUAACAUUGUGACACUGGCCAAUUCUGUGGUGGCUGUUGGGAUCGCCAUUAACCAAGGAAACAGUAUGUUGACUCAUGAACUCUGAGUCAAAGAGACAUUGUUGAAAGAUACAUUGAGCUAUCUCCAACUCUCAGCAACCAUUCAGCAUGGAAAGCUCCUCAUAUAAUUUGGUUUUUAAGACACACCAACAGGAACUGGAAGUAGUACUGCAUUGUUAGGCUCUAAAUUCAUAGCUUCCCUUUGUGUGGGUUUGUGUGUAAUGUCAGCCCUAUCAAAGACAUUAGAUUUGUGAACAUGAUAAGUGGCAGUCUGAUUUAUUCUCUAGCUACCUUCCUUCUCCCACAGCAAUCCCACACAAGAGUCCUUCCUUAAUUUCCCUUUACCCAUUUGGCUUGUGGCUUUCAUAUCUUCAAUCUUUCCAGAGACUUUUGGAAAUAAUGGAAACACUCUUUAAACAUAAGUUGUAAGGUAGGAAUACAGUGCUGGUAAGCUUCAAGUUUAAAUUGUACAAUUAUCAAUAGUGACCAUUUUAUCUAGCAUGUAGCAAUUAAUUCUAACAGCAGCUGUUUGCUUAUAGACGACCAAAAAGGAACACAACACUUAAUGCAGAAAUGAAAGAAAAAAAAAAAAGCUAGAAAAAAGAAAAAAAAAGGGAGGUUU